rnacentral:rRNA from 1 species
GGAUCAGUACGCUGGUCGUGCCUUGUGUAUGUACUGGUGUUACUGGUUCCUACCUUCUGACGAACCGUCAUGUCAUUAAUUUGGUGUGGCGGGGAAUCAGGACUGUUACUUUGAAAAAAUUAGAGUGUUUAAAGCAGGCAUUCGCUUGAAUACAUUAGCAUGGAAUAAUAAAAUAGGACU